rnacentral:rRNA from 1 species
GACGAACGCUGGCGGCGUGCUUAACACAUGCAAGUCGAACGGUAAGGCCCGGCUUUUGUGGUGUGCUCGAGUGGCGAACGGGUGAGUAUCACGUGUGUAACCUGCCCUUGACUUUGGGAGAACUUCAGGAAACUGGGGCUAAUACCGGGUAGGAGCUCCUGCUGCAUGGUGGGGGUUGGAAAGUUUCGGCGGUUGGGGAUGGACUCGCGGCUUAUCAGCUUGUUGGUGGGGUAGUGGCUUACCAAGGCUUUGACGGGUAGCCGGCCUGAGAGGGUGACCGGCCACAUUGGGACUGAGGUACGGCCCAGACUGCUACGGGAGGCAGCAGUGGGGAAUAUUGCACAAUGGGCGGAAGCCUGAUGCAGCAACACCGCGUGCGGGAUGACGGCCUUCGGGUUGUAAACCGCUUUCGCCUGUGACGAAGCGUGAGUGACGGUAAUGGGUAAAGAAGCACCGGCUAACUACGUG